GACGAACGGUGCUAACGUUGUUCGGAAUCACUGGGCUUAAAGGGCGCGUAGGCGGUUUGCUAAGUCAGGGGUGAAAUCUUUCGGCCCAACCGGAAAAGGGCCUUUGAUACUGGCAAACUAGAGCGAGGUAGGGGCAGAUGGAACUUCCGGUGGAGCGGUGAAAUGUGUUGAUAUCGGAAGGAACGCCGGUGGCGAAAGCGAUCUGCUGGACCUCUUCUGACGCUGAGGCGCGAAAGCCAGGGGAGCAAACAGG
rnacentral:rRNA from 1 species